UAAGUAGGGUGCGAGCGUUGUCCGGAAUUAUUGGGCGUAAAGAGCUUGUAGGCGGUUUGUCGCGUCUGCCGUGAAAUUUCGGGGCUCAACCCCGAACUUGCGGUGGGUACGGGCAGACUAGAGUGUGGUAGGGGAGACUGGAAUUCCUGGUGUAGCGGUGAAAUGAGCAGAUAUCAGGAGGAACACCGGUGGCGAAGGCGGCUUUCUGGACGACAACUGACGCUGAGACGCGAAAGCGUGGGGAGCAAACAGG
rnacentral:rRNA from 1 species